rnacentral:rRNA from 1 species
UAUUGGUCAAUGGCCGGGAGGCUGAACCAGCCAAGUCGCGUGAGGGAAGACGGCCCUACGGGUUGUAAACCUCUUUUGUCAGGGAGCAAGAGGCGGGUCGGGACCUGCUGUGAGAGUACCUGAAGAAAAAGCAUCGGCUACCUCCGUGCCAGUAGCCGCGGUAAUACGGAGGAUGCGAGCGUUAUCCGGAUUUAUUGGGUUUAAAGGGUGCGUAGGCGGAAUGCCAAGUCAGCGGUAAAAUCGCGGGGCUCAACCUCGCUCCGCCGUUGAAACUGGCGUUCUUGAGUGGGCGAGAAGUAUGCGGAAUGCGUGGUGUAGCGGUGAAAUGCAUAGAUAUCACGCAGAACUCCGAUUGCGAAGGCAGCAUACCGGCGCCCAACUGACGCUGAGGCACGAAAGCGUGGGUAUCG